rnacentral:rRNA from 1 species
CUGCGGUGUCGUUUCCGGCGUUCACUGGGUGUGAGCNGCAUUGGCCUGGCACCGGACGGCCGCACUUCCACCCUAGUAGAAACGUCNCGACCCGUUNGGUGCCGGUCUAAGGNCCGGGAAGGNAGACCCUUGUCCUGAGGGGAGGGUGCCUCANGCAUGUGGACUCCCGGUGACCUGGCCGGCUGCCCGACGGUCUAUGAGCNNAGGANCCGGUCCGCUGAAUGGGAAACACUGUGGUGUGAAGCGUCCGACUCGGUAGCCGUAUCUGUUCGCCGGGGAUUCNCAGACGGUGUCUGUCCUUGACNGCACGGUCUCCCCGGGGCUGAUAGGUUUGCCGGAANAUUUCGGACGGGACCGAUACUCCUGUCGGCGACGAUCUCCUUCGGAUGGUCUCCCGACCC